CUUACAGAGCUUCCUCUUGGGCCCACAACAGAGCUGCUGUGCUCCUGCCGGGCGGGCCGUCUUCUGACACACACACAAAAGCCUUGUUAGAGCUCCUUCCUUACUAGGGACAGCCCAAGGCCAAAAGAGAGAUUCCCUGCCCCAAAACAGGGAUGAAGAGCCCAGAACUUCUCUGUCACUGAGAAUUUCAAUGCCGUAGAGGUAACCUGGGAUGGAGAGGAAUUGAAAAGAGCUACUGAGAAGGGCCAUUCCUCAUGGGGCACCAGGGGGGCUUCGCGGGGGCGCAGGGAGGGCCGUUCCUGCCAGUGGCCCUUCUAAGAAACUCUAUAACAUCCAUGUGAAUGCUUUUGUCUGAGAGCUGGGAAAGUGGCCGUGGUUCUCCAGGGCAUCCCAUUCCCCAUGCUAACCUCCAGGUUAUAUCCCUGAAGUGAAUUCUUAUUCUAUGUUGCCUCAACAUGCAUUUUGAAUAUAAAUUUAACUUUCUCAUACCAGAAGCAGGGCUUAGGUACUCUUGGUGCAGUUUCUAGUUCUAUACUCCCAAACCCAGUCCCCCAGUGUGGUCCAUCUAGAUAUCUGCCUUAUACAACUUCCUCCUGGUGACCCCCUGCCCAGUGACAGCUAGAUAUAGCCUGCUGGGCAGGCCCUGCUGACUCCCACAGCCCACAUAGACUGUGCAGAUGUGUCACAGCGACCACCGCUCAUCGCAGCAUGACCUCCUGAACUCAUGCCUGCUCGCUAAACCCACCAUGUAAAACUCCCACUGGAGACCUGCCUGGAUAACACCCUGGACCCAGUAAAGUCAUUAGUGCGUGGAUUCCUCUCUCUCUCUCUGUCUUCGUGUGCUCCCUGCCUUCAGUGUGUGCCCUCUGGGCAUGACGUGUAACCUCCAGUACCUGUAAGUAAUAAAAUCUUUAUUUCCAUCUUGUGUCCCCCUAAUCAAUGAAGCGGUGCCCUUCAUCUCAAAGAUCCUAAAUUAUAACAAUCCCUUACCUAGAGAUGAUUUCCGCAGAAGUCGUCCAAGGGCAGAAACAGAAACAAGUCAUGAAGUUCAUUUGAUCAUCCUUGAGGACGUAUCAGGAAGUCUUGUCAGCACAAAGGCGAGGCUGGUGGUAGUCCUGGGAAUUAUCAGCACCUGUGAUUGAGUGGUUUCUCUGUGCAUG
rnacentral:lncRNA from 1 species